UCUCCGUUGGUGAACCAGCGGAGGGAUCAUUGCUGCGUGAGGGUCUCCGGGCCCGACCUCCAACCCUUUGUGAAUCGUACUCGUUGCUUCGGGGGCGACCCUGCCGUCCGCGGCUGAGCGCCCCCGGGGUCAAUCAAACACUGCAUUCUCUGCGUCGGAGUAUUAGUAAAUCUAAUCAAAACUUUCAGCAACGGAUCUCUUGGUUCUGGCAUCGAUGAAGAACGCAGC
rnacentral:misc_RNA from 1 species